AGGACGAACGCUGGCGGCGUGCUUAACACAUGCAAGUCGAACGAUGAAGCCUUUCGGGGUGGAUUAGUGGCGAACGGGUGAGUAACACGUGGGCAACCUGCCCUCCACUCUGGGAUAACUCCGGGAAACCGGGGCUAAUACUGGAUAUGACCUGGGAUCGCAUGGUCCUGGGUGGAAAGUUUUUCGGUGGAGGAUGGGCCCGCGGCCUAUCAGCUUGUUGGUGGGGUGAUGGCCUACCAAGGCGGUGACGGGUAGCCGGCCUGAGAGGGCGAACGGCCACACUGGGACUGAGACACGGCCCAGACUCCUGCGGGAGGCAGCAGUGGGGAAUAUUGCACAAUGGGCGAAAGCCUGAUGCAGCGACGCCGCGUGAGGGAUGACGGCCUUCGGGUUGUAAACCUCUUUCAGCAGGGACCAAGCGUGAGUGAGUGUACCUGCAGAAGAAGCACGGCUAACUACGUGCCAGCAGCCGCGGUAA
rnacentral:rRNA from 1 species